rnacentral:rRNA from 1 species
CGUACACUCCUACGGGAGGCAGCAGUGGGGAAUAUUACACAAUGGGCGCAAGCCUGAUGCAGCCAUGCCGCGUGUAUGAAGAAGGCCUUCGGGUUGUAAAGUACUUUCAGCGGGGAGGAAGGCAAUACGGUUAAUAACCGUGUUGAUUGACGUUACCCGCAGAAGAAGCACCGGCUAACUCCGUGCCAGCAGCCGCGGUAAUACGGAGGGUGCAAGCGUUAAUCGGAAUUACUGGGCGUAAAGCGCACGCAGGCGGUCUGUCAAGUCGGAUGUGAAAUCCCCGGGCUCAACCUGGGAACUGCAUUCGAAACUGGCAGGCUUGAGUCUUGUAGAGGGGGGUAGAAUUCCAGGUGUAGCGGUGAAAUGCGUAGAGAUCUGGAGGAAUACCGGUGGCGAAGGCGGCCCCCUGGACAAAGACUGACGCUCAGGUGCGAAAGCGUGGGGAGCAAACAGGAUUAGAUACCCUAGUAGUCCCAU